rnacentral:rRNA from 1 species
UACGGAGGGUGCAAGCGUUAAUCGGAAUUACUGGGCGUAAAGCGUGCGCAGGCGGUUUGUUAAGUCUGCUGUGAAAUCCCCGAGCUCAACUUGGGAAUUGCAGUGGAUACUGGCAAGCUGGAGUACGGUAGAGGAAGGUGGAAUUCCCGGUGUAGCAGUGAAAUGCGUAGAGAUCGGGAGGAACACCAGUGGCGAAGGCGAUCACCUGGGGUUGUUCUGACGCUGAGGAGCGAAAGCUAGGGGAGCAAACGGG